rnacentral:rRNA from 1 species
GCAACUUUUGUGAGGAGAAGCGUGUGAAAGUGCGUUGAGUCAUGGCGGUAAGGCUAGAAGCCAGUCGAUCUAUUCCUGAGCAAGCUGAAGGCGGGCGAAAGCCCGUUGGAAGGCUGUAGCAGUUCUGACGUGCAAAUCGUUUGUGUGACUUGGGAAUAGGGGACAAGAACCAAUCUAGACUGGCGAUCGCUAGUUCCAACCGAAGCGUCUCGCAGGGCGUCCUUUGCGGAGAUAGCAUUUCCUGUAGAGCACUGAUCUUUAGGUAUGGGGGAGAAAUCCCUCGCCUUCAUUUCAAACUCCGAAUGGAUAUGCAUCGUAGAAGCAAGGAGACGGGUUCGUGUGACGUAAGGUUCACGACCGAAAGGGGUUUAACCCAGACUAAAGUUAAGGUCCCCAAAUUUUUGCUAAGUGUCAAGCCAAAGGGCGUGUUCUCGCCAAGACAGCAGGGAGGUAAGCUCAGAAGCAGCUAUCCUUUAAAAAGUGUGUAACAACUUACCUGCCGAGGGAGAAUGCCUCAAAAACGGACGGGGCUAAAGCAAAGUACCGAUACUUUAGAUAAUCAUCAGUGGAUGAUUCGUGGUAGGUUGAGCGUAGUGAUUGGGUCGAAGCAGGGCGAUGACGUCCUGUGGACCGAUUUCUAUUGCAGAUCUUGGUGGUAGUAACAGCAUAGUAUGGUGAGAAUCCAUACCACCGCAAGCGCAAGGGUUUCCAGGCAAUGCGUUAUCAGCCUGGAGGUAGUCGAUCCUAAGGUUUGCCUCAACAGAGUAAAUCGAAUGGGAAACUAGUUAAUAUUCUAGUACCUUGCAUGGAGCGUUUGAGCUAUAUGGUUCGCUUUCGGAUAGGGGUUGUACAACCAUCGUUGUAUCUAACUAUUCAAGGACUUGGGAGUGUCGUAAUGACGAGAACUAGUCCGAGGUAGGAAUGGCUUCGCGUUAGCGAAGUUUUCUCGAAUCCAGGAGACCAUGAAAGACUGUGUAGCAAGCAACAUGCAAGCUCGUACCCAGAACCGACACAGGUGCGCUGGCUUAGAAAGCUAAGGUGCUACGGGUAUACCGUAUGGCGAGGGAAUUCGGCAAAUUAGUCCUNAGUUCCGACGCGCAUGAAUGGAACAACGAGAGCCCCACUGUCCCCGCCUACAACCCGGUGAAGCCACAUAAGGUGGACGAACAGUCCAUCAACUUCCAUCGGGGAGAGAAGACCCCGUGGAGUUUUACUGCAGCUUGUGCUUGUGGUAUAGUAAGAAUUGCACAGGGUAUCUGGGAGCUAUGCUUAACAUUCCCCGGGAUGUUAAUGAAGCAACGAUGUAACACCAGACUCUUUUUGCAGUACCACUUAUCCAGUGAAGACCGGAGACACGUGCAGGUAGGCAGUUCGGCUGGGGCGGCACCCCUUUGAAAAGAUAUCAAAGGGGCCCAAAGUUGAGUUCAAACGGGGCAGAAAUCCGUUGAAGAGGGCAAAGCCAAAAACUCGACUGAAUGGAUUUCCAAACGCACGGAAUUCAUAGACGAAAGUCUGGCUUAGCGAUCCUUCGUGUGCCCACUAUUGGGGCCCGGAGGUGACAGAAAAAUUACCCCAGGGAUAACAGGCUCGUCGNNNNNNNNGCCUAUUAAAAGGGAACAUGAGCUGGGUUUAGACCGUCGUGAGACAGGUCGGUCUCUGCCUGAUGGAAGCGUGAAUAACUGAGGGGAAGUUCCUCCUAGUACGAGAGGAACAGAGGAGCGUGGCCACUGGUUUACCGGUUGUCUGAUAAGGCAGGCCGGGCAGCUAAGCCGUUUGGGCUAAGUGCUGAAAGCAUCUAAGCACGAAUCCCAUCCCGAGACAAGUUAUUCU